rnacentral:rRNA from 1 species
CGGGAGUACAUCAGCGGCGAACGGGUGAGUAACACGUGGGUGACUUGCCCCGAAGAUGGGGAUAACGUCUGGAAACGGGGGCUAAUACCCAAUGUGCUCGGUGAUUCGGUUCAUCGAGUAAAGCUCCGGCGCUUCGGGAGAGGCCUGCGGCCCAUCAGCUAGUUGGUAGGGUAACGGCCUACCAAGGCAGAGACGGGUAGGGGGCGUGAGAGCGCGGACCCCCACACUGGCACUGAGAUACGGGCCAGACUCCUACGGGAGGCAGCAGUAAGGGAUAUUGCGCAAUGGACGAAAGUCAGACGCAGCGACGCCGCGUGGGCGAUGAAGGCCUUCGGGUUGUAAAGCCCUUUUAUGGGGGAAGAGAAAAAGGACGGUACCCCAGGAAUAAGUCCCGGCUAACUACGUGCCAGCAGCCGCGGUAAAACGUAGGGGACAAGCGUUAUCCGGAUUCACUGGGCGUAAAGAGCGUUGAGGCGGUUCCGUAAGUUGGGCGUGAAAGCUCCGGGCUUAACUCGGAGAUGUCGUUCAAUACUGCGGGGCUUGAGGACAGCAGAGGAAGGUGGAAUUCCCGGUGUAGUGGUGAAAUGCGUAGAUAUCGGGAGGAACACCCGUGGCGAAGGCGGCCUUCUGGGCUGUUCCUGACGCUGAAGGCGAAAGCUAGGGGAGCGAACGGGAUUAGAUACCCCGGUAGUCCUAGCUGUAAACGAUGGAUGCUGGGUGUGGGGGGUGUAAAUUUCCCUCUGUGCCGAAGCAAACGCGUUAAGCAUCCCGCCUGGGGACUACGGCCGCAAGGCUAAAACUCAAACGAAUUGACGGGGGCCCGCACAAGCAGCGGAGCGUGUG